ensembl:processed_transcript D030025E07Rik RIKEN cDNA D030025E07 gene
GGGAGAGCUCGGAUUCCUUACCCAGAGGCUGAGCAGAGCUCAUCCCCUCCUGGAGAAACGGAGAUAGCUCACCUUCUCCACACUCAAAAGAGCUGAGUGAAGUUUCAUGACAUUUCCUAGGAAGCCAAACUUAGUGGAACUUUAGAUGUGCCUGGGAACAGUGUCUUCAUGCAAGAUCUUCCCUGCUGAGGACUCUUGACGCUGCAGAAGCAGGUAGACGCAGCUGUGCUUAGAAGCCACCAAGAAAGGUUUUGAAUGCUGUGUGCAAGAAGCUAUGCUACCAAGAAGGCAAGCACAAGAGUCGGAACACACUGUCAGAUUCUACAGAUUCUAUGCUGUCUCUACAGAAGACACCAACCAACACCUGCUCCGUCUAUCAACUGAAAACCAAUACCUUGAACAGAAAACAAAAUUCUACUGAUGAAAAAUACUGCUUUGUUGUGUUCAAAGCCUAACACUAAGGUAAGUCCCUAUCUUCAAUAGCGAACACUUCUUCAGUAUCCAUUACUGAAUUUCUUUCUUGGCUUUUCUCCUCUUUGACUUUGGAAGCACUGGUGUGCUCAAGAAACCCUAUGGUUUGUGAUUCUACCUAUCAGCCAACCUCCCACUGUGGCAAUAACAGAGUUUAAAUCAGGCAACCCAGCUUUGUUGGUAUUCCUGAGGACAAGAGUGCUGACAGGGUGGGACAAACUGACAGAUUAAUUCGCACUUUAAUCCUCAACUUCCCCAAUAUUGAUAUAAUGCGGAGGUUUCUCUUACAGGGGGUGCAGUUAAUAGGCGUUUCACAUUCAGGCACCGAGAUACAACACCACUAUUAGGCAGGGUCUUUGCAACAGCUGAGUCACUCCUUCCAUUUGGUGUCAAUUAGGCUAAUUAGUGGUUAGCAGAUCCGGCUGCUCUUCAAUCGGUUGGAAAUGCCAGGGUACCCACUCUAAGGUCUUCUCAAACACUAACAUGGGUGUCUUCUCUGCCAAGGCAGAAGGCUCCUCAAAAAGAUCGCAUUUAUUGGCUGUAACACGUACUCAGCCAGUGUCACGAACUACAGUUUUUGAUGGCCACCCACUAGUUCUAUGGCCCAUUGUUGGCCACCCUUCUUGGAGUACAAUUUGUUGGGCCGCUGAUACAAGGGGGUCCUAUUAUCUUCUCAUCUCACCAGCUAGGUGGUCGGAGUGUGCUUCCCCCGAGGGUGCAUGUACCUGUUAAAACACUAUUUCUUUUGGCUCUGGUUCUAAACCCAGGCAGAGGGGAUUAGAGGCUGGUUUUUAAUUGCGCUUGCCUUUUUCUUCUACGAAUGCCAAUCGUUCUGCAGUACCUUUUGUGAUAUGAAAAUGAACACAGGAUUAAAGCAUAGUUUUGAUUCCUCACCAGCCAUUCGAGUCUCUCAGGCACCUUCCUUAAGCUGCUGGGUGUUCUUAUCAGGCGGUUCAAGCCUUGGCAGGAGGC